AGUGAACGCUGGCGGCGUGCUUAACACAUGCAAGUCGAACGAGAACGGGAUAUAGCUUGCUAUAUUUGUCAGCUAAGUGGCGCACGGGUGAGUAAUGUAUAGAUAACCUGCCCUCUAGAAAGGAAUAACAGUUGGAAACGACUGCUAAUGCCCUAUAUGCCUUUAAUACAUAAGUAUGCAAGGGAAACGCUUUAGUGCUAGAGGAUGGGUCUGUAUGGUAUCAGCUUGUUGGUGAGGUAAUGGCUCACCAAGGCUAUGACGCCUAACUGGUUUGAGAGGAUGAUCAGUCACACUAGAACUGAGACACGGUCCAGACUCCUACGGGAGGCAGCAGUGGGGAAUAUUGCACAAUGGACGAAAGUCUGAUGCAGCAACGCCGCGUGGAGGAUGACACAUUUCGGUGCGUAAACUCCUUUUAUAUAUGAAGAUAAUGACGGUACUAUAUGAAUAAGCACCGGCUAACUCCGUGCCAGCCGCCGCAGUAA
rnacentral:rRNA from 1 species